GAACCUUUCUUCAAGGUGUAGUGCAAAGGCUUCGGCCUUCUCAGCAGUGGAUUUACACCAGACCCUGUCCGCAGGUCUAGCAUCGCUGCUAGACUUUAUGAGUGCUCAAUCAUUUGCAAGGUUUGUCUGUCUAUGUGGAAAGCUUUCCUGGAUGUGUGACGGUUGAAGGGCACUGGAAUAGGAUUCGCUCGGGAAGCCGCCUCACAGAUGUUUCUUUCAAGAAUAUCCACUGCAUGGUCAAGAUCUGCUGCACAUCUAAUUUCAGUGUUGAUUUUAGAAGAUGGCUAUUUAUUGUGUUGACAGCUGGAGCUUCACGAUAAUAAAUAAUUAGUGGAAGAUGAUCGGAACUAAGGUGAUGAGAAUCUUCAAUCUGAAGUAGUUCGCGACGAAUGCCUUUAUAUAUGGCGAAGUCAAUGGCGGAAGGCGAAUGGCGGGGAUUGUAUGGGAAGAGCGUGAGUUUCCCCACCACUGGCUUCGAGCGUUCCAGUCGCCUCCUAUGAUGUAGGCAUCCCCCAAGGAUAAGAACAGUUCAUGGAAAUCACUAUCAGACCAUCUUUGUUGUGGUGGGCAGUAGACGGAGGCAAUGUUAAUGGUUUUACUGGGAAGGAGAUUUAGCGAAACAACAGCACAUUGACAUCGCGCUGUAGGUGGAAUAUGGAGGGCAUAGUGCCUUAUGCUAUUUUUAAUGACAACUGCAACACCACCUCUUCGCCUAUUAGAAGGAUGGUUUGCUGUGUAAGCAGAGUACCCUUGAAUUUUAAUUGAGUCAGAAUCAAUAAGCUCUAGUUCAACCUCAAAUAAGUCUAGUGGCUGAUUUGUGAAGCGAGAUUUAAUAACUCUGAGAAACCUAACUGAGUGGCCCAAAUUACUUAGGUGAUCGCGGAUCCAUGUGUCUGGAGUGGAGUGGUGGAGGUACCUUAAAAUAACUCUAAGGCCACGCUCACUUCUUAGCUGGUAUGUGUGACUCUCAAUGUUAUUUUCUUUGAGAUAAUUAUUAAGCUUCCUAUAUGAAGGGAUGUCAACACACUGCACCCUGAAUCCAUGACCUGCAGCCGGCUUGGUGGUGAAGUUAUCUUCACCAAUAAUCUGACUUAGGUCAUUAAUCAGCUUGAUAAUAUCGCUGUAGCCUGAUAUAUACAUAGGGGCAGGCUUAAGAAUCAUUUGGUCGCGCGUUUUGUCUGUGACAUUUGGGGGCGCUAUUUGAAUGUCACUAAUGGCCUUUGAAUUCUUGGCUGGAUUGAGUUUAACAUGAUUGGCCUGGGCCGAGGCUUUUGCAUUUGGUUGAAUAUUAUCAGCAUCCAUUUCCAUAAAGCUAUCAAUGGAAUCGCUAUCAAUGACAUCAACGGUGUCUAUCGGCACUUGUUUUUUAUUUGUUCUUGGGCUAUUGCCCUUAGUGGCAACACGCUUGGGUGCUUUUUCAUUGCUUUCACAAGUCUUAAUUGAGUUGUUUUUUGGCUUUGGGACAACAUUAUAUUUUAAUUGCUGGGAUGCAGCAGCGGCUGCAGCAACCCGAGAAGUUGAGGGGAGUAAAGAUAGGCUUCUUUCAUUUUUGAUUUUAUUGAAUACCUUUGACAGUGCAGUUGAUGCCACGUGUUUUCGGUCGUCAAGCGGCAUUUCGACAUCAAUGUCUUCGUCUUCGCUCUCCUCGCAUGUCUUUGGAGUAGACAUGUUUGUGAAUGGAUACACCAGUAGA